GAUGAACGCUGGCGGCGUGCCUAAUACAUGCAAGUCGAGCGAACAGACGAGGAGCUUGCUCCUCCGACGUUAGCGGCGGACGGGUGAGUAACACGUGGAUAACCUACCUAUAAGACUGGGAUAACUUCGGGAAACCGGAGCUAAUACCGGAUAAUAUAUUGAACCGCAUGGUUCAAUAGUGAAAGACGGCUUUGCUGUCACUUAUAGAUGGAUCCGCGCCGCAUUAGCUAGUUGGUAAGGUAACGGCUUACCAAGGCAACGAUGCGUAGCCGACCUGAGAGGGGGAACGGCCACACCGGAACUGAGGCACGGUCCAGAACUCUAAGGGAGGGCGCAGUAGGGAAUCUUUCGCAAAUGGGCGAAGCUUGGCGGGGGAACGGCGCGUUGGGGAAGAAAGUCUUUCGAUCGGAAAACCCUGGUAUUAGGGAAAAACAAAUGUGGAAGGAACUAUGCACGGCUUGACGGGACCUAAACAAAAAGCCACGGCUAACUACGUG
rnacentral:rRNA from 1 species